rnacentral:rRNA from 1 species
AUUGAACGCUGGCGGAAUGCUUUACACAUGCAAGUCGAGCGGCAGCGCGGGGCAACCUGGCGGCGAGCGGCGAACGGGUGAGUAAUGCAUCGGAACGUACCCAGUCGUGGGGGAUAACGUGGCGAAAGUCACGCUAAUACCGCAUACGUCCUGAGGGAGAAAGCAGGGGAUCGCAAGACCUUGCGCGAUUGGAGCGGCCGAUGUCUGAUUAGCUAGUUGGUGGGGUAAAGGCCUACCAAGGCGACGAUCAGUAGCUGGUCUGAGAGGACGAUCAGCCACACUGGGACUGAGACACGGCCCAGACUCCUACGGGAGGCAGCAGUGGGGAAUUUUGGACAAUGGGCGAAAGCCUGAUCCAGCCAUUCCGCGUGAGUGAAGAAGGCCUCGGUUGUAAGACUCUUUCGGUCAGGAACGAAACGGACGAGU